AAUUUCCUGUGUUUUUUCAAUCUCACUUUAACUUCUCUAACAGAUGGGGAAAGAUGACUAAACCAAGGGAGUUUACAAAAGUUCGUCUUGUGGUGUUUGCAAACUGUCUCUGUGAGGUCCAUUUGCUGUAGUGUAAACACGACUGUGGCAGGGUGCCUGGUGCCUUCGCAGCAGCUAAUCCUGCUCAGCUGAGGGCCGACCACGUGAGGUAAAGCAGCAGGCCGGGUCUGCACGGUGAACCCAACACCAGUCAGCCCUGGGGCUGAGGGCCUUAGCACGAGGCCUUCACUCCUUCUCCACAGAUAACACAGAGCAGCUCUAACUGUAAGACCAGAUUGAACCCCCCACUGUGCUUUGCAUCAGAUUGUGGUCAGCUGUGGAAGGUUGGGUUAAACACCAGGGCUGUAAUCAUGCAAAAAUGGCUGCACCUGGGGCUGCAGCUGGCCUAUGGCUGCCCUCCCUAGUCUUUAAGUCAGGUCAAGGAAGCAGGCCUAGCCCUGGGCAAGGUGGAGUUUCAGCUCCUCUGCUUUGCAAGAGUGGUGUAGGCUGCAAAGUACGUGAAGCUUUCUCACCAAAUACAGCUGAAAAGGCAGGCCAUCACAGUCGUUCUGUGCUGCGAGCCUUUGUGUCCACAUCUCAGAACUGGAUAAGGCUUCCUCCAGGAUUCCUCUGCAGACGCACCAUUGUGAGUCCAGAUUGUGCCCAGCUGCUGCAUGGGUACACAAAGAGCUGAGAAAGCUGCAGGGAGCCUCUUCGUUGUGUGUUCCUGGACAGCAGCCAACCUCCCAUCAAAGGUUGCCCAUUUCUUGAGAAAGCACAGAGCUUGCUCCAUCCCCCAGCAAUGCCUCAAGCCAAAGGUGUCCAAAUGGAGACAGAAAGGGUAUUUCCAGUGCCCCGGUUUGCGGGACAGAGUGUACAAGGUGGGGAGCGAAAUCUGCACUGCUAGAGAAGCUCUCUUAGCUCAACAUUUUUGAGGGAGCGAAAUGUCUCCAGACAGAACUUUAUUCUUUGUCGAGAUGUGUUGAUAGUAUUUGUCAGUACUCACUAACCUGGGACUGGAGAGUGAUAGAACAUUGAAAUGUGGGAUUUCAGAAAGAGGAAAGAAAACAUGUUACUAAUAAUGCCUU